ensembl:lncRNA
CUGAUCUGUAUCAGACUGAGCUGUCAAUACCCCAACACACAUGGGUAGGGUUUAUGAAGCCCCACCCCUAGCUGAAGGGAUUUUUGCAAUUAAUGGCUGUUGGGGGAGGGGACUCACUCUUCUUCAGGGAGGUAGACACUGUUUAGUUGCUCACAUUCCAGCUCCACACCCUAACGUGCUCCUUGAUGAGAGCAGGUACAGCUAAACCCGGUGGGGCAUACAAGAAAAAGUACGAAAGCAGGAAGGGAAGUUUUGGGAAGAAAGGUUACAUAGGAAGUGGGAAGGGGAUGGGCAAUGGGAGUAGAGACUGAGUAUGACCAAAAUACACGGUUAAGAUGUAUGGACGUGUCAAACACGAAGUACGUAAUUACUCAGAAAGAAUGUGGAAUGGCCAGAGAUCUUGUCCACCAACAUGGUCAGCAUCUAUAACCUGGUGUCCUGUAAGAGCCAUCACAAAGGGGAUAUGAGCAAGGGGCCACCACAUGUUUAGAAGCUGGGAUUGCUGUGGACUGUUCCUGGAGCUGUAUCAUCUGUGGAUGGUGUGGAAAUAUAACGGGGCUUCAAGAGCUGAGGACAGCAUACCAUGACAUGGAUGGUGCCUGGGACCCUGAGAAGCAGGAGUCACUUCCUUCUAGGGGACCCGCCAUCAGAAAUAAGGAAUUACCCACAGCAGGCCUGGAUAGAGACAUCUCAGAAGCCCACAGGAAAGACGUGCACUAGGAGGUGGUUGGGAAGUUGCCUUAUCUGACCGAAUUUCGAUUACUACAAGAAACACCUUUCCCUUCAAAUAUGAAGUGAACCAGCAAUAUUGCCCACUAAUCUUACUGCAGGUAAUAUGAAGUCAAGCCACCUUCCAGACCAAGUGGCUCAGAUACCAUAUAACACUCAGUAACCCAAGCCACUCUGGCUGUCCAGAGCUGGAUUAAGAACUUGGGUUUAGGACGUUUGUCUGAGGGCGCAGACCUACGGACUAAGAUGUCAGUGCCAAGCCUCCUGGUUUAUCGCUAUUCUACAAUCAAUAUCUGGGAAGCAAAGCCAGCCGCUUUGCGUCUGCCCAUCGAUGGAUAGAUGGAUGAAAGUUACGGUGCAUAUCUCAGUGGAGUUCUAUGCAGCUAUAGAGAAAACGGGAAUCAUGACAUUCACAGAAAAAAAAAAACACAUGGAACUGGAAUUAGUGGUUGUACUGAGAGAAUUAGCUAGGCUAAAAGACAAGUGCCACGUGUUUCCCUUACUCACAAAGCCUAG